rnacentral:rRNA from 1 species
AGCGGCGGACGGGUGAGUAACGCGUGGGUAACCUGCCUCAUACAGGGGGAUAACAGUUAGAAAUGACUGCUAAUACCGCAUAAGACCACAGCACCGCAUGGUGCGGGGGUAAAAACUCCGGUGGUAUGAGAUGGACCCGCGUUUGAUUAGCUAGUUGGUAAGGUAACGGCUUACCAAGGCGACGAUCAGUAGCCGACCUGAGAGGGUGACCGGCCACAUUGGGACUGAGACACGGCCCAA